rnacentral:rRNA from 1 species
UACGGAGGGUGCAAGCGUUAUCCGGAUUCACUGGGUUUAAAGGGUGCGUAGGUGGGUUUGUAAGUCAGUGGUGAAAUCUCCGGGCUUAACUCGGAAACUGCCAUUGAUACUAUAGAUCUUGAAUUAUCUGGAGGUGAGCGGAAUAUGUCAUGUAGCGGUGAAAUGCUUAGAUAUGACAUAGAACACCAAUUGCGAAGGCAGCUCACUACGGAUAUAUUGACACUGAGGCACGAAAGCGUGGGGAUCAAACAGG